GUGGGCUUAGGAUGGGGUUUAGAUUACUAUCUGAAUUUCUCAAUUUUACACAAUUAGAAUCUUCACUUUAUACAACAUGCCAUUCUUGACUGUAUAAACCUAGCAGUAAGCCCACCCAAUUAGCAAAAUCUUGGAAUCAUGUGGCCAGCCAGCUUACCCAGAUGGAAUAUAUAUCCAGAAAAUUCCACUAAGCUCUUGCAUUUCUACCUCCUUUUCUACCAACAGCUUCACACAAUCGGCAAGGCAACGUGUCAAGGCUAACUGCACGAGUCUUUCCAUAGUUGCCCAAAACGCCACAUCUUCUCCAUGCGUGGUAUUCUGCAUAGGCUACAGGAUCAUUAGCGAGGGUCUUGACAUAAGAAGCCAGUUCUUGCAUGGAGCUGAAUUUCGUCCCAUCUAUUAUUGAAUGUGGAGGAACAAAAUCGUGCACAUUUGGUGCACCGAAAUAUAUUGGAACUGCACCAGAGUCCAGGGCAUAAAANAAUAGCUUUUCAGUCACAUAACUGGACAUUGCAGUAUUUUCAAUCGCAAGCACAAAUUUGUAGUGAGACAUCGCACAAUGCAGAUGAUCCCACCAUUUUGGCUUAACGCUGGCAUCAUUGGCACACUCAGGAUACAGAGAGAGAGCCAUAUCCAGUCCACCAACAUUGUUCAAGCACUUCCCAAAUGAAUGGUGUGGUAUUAAGCUGAGGAAACUUUUAGCCAACUGGUUUCUUUGCGCAAGACAACGUGAUGAAGACCAAUAAACAAGUGUGUCAUUGUUCUUACGACGGGACACAUGAUAGUUUCGACCAUUAUGAAAGAGUGCACCAGCAUAAGUCGACUGAACAUCAUCUUCUGCAUGAUAACUAAUAAAUAUAUCCUCAAGACCUGAUCUUUUCCUGCCAGCCUCAAGAUCCAUAUAGACACGAAGUGGAUCCCCAUUGCGCCUCCGAGAUGGAGGUGUGGUUGUUUCGAACAACAAAGCAUCUGGUUUAUCAGCGAGAACUGGGGAUUUGGUCCACAAACAGCUCAACCCGCAUUGGCACGAAUACAUAUUAUCCAAAUUAUCAGGAAUCCAAGUCCACCCCUUAACCAAUACACUAACAUGGCCCAUCUUCAAGUCAUUACACUCAGAAUCACCACCAGCCUCUUGCAAAGAAGCAGACCUAUUAGACCCAGAAGACCCCACACGAAUCAAAUCUCUGUACCUCUCCCUAAACUGAUUACAACCCACUCGAGAGUCCCAUUUUUUGUAAGCAAUGACCAGGUCAACAAAAGGGUCUGGUGUGGAGGAUGUGGUGGACAAUCUAUCCCUGAUGGGGGAGGGAAUUGAGGUUGUUACAGAUGGGAACUCAAGGAAACCAGAGAAAAAGAGGAUCAAGAAUGUAAAGAACAUCAUGAGGGCGAUAGUAUAGGUGUUGAAGGGUUUCAAGGACAUGGCGAGAGUGAAUUGAGAUUGGGUACUUCUCCUUCUCUACCAAGAGAAAGAGAGAUCAGUGGGCUUUGAGGCUGGAAUUGAGGUUUUGGACUUUGUAUUACAUAAUGUUGAGAAAACAAGAUCGCAGAAGAGAGAGUUAGU
rnacentral:misc_RNA from 1 species